GAUGAAGAACGUAGCGAAAUGCGAUAAGUAAUGUGAAUUGCAGAAUUCAGUGAAUCAUCGAAUCUUUGAACGCACCUUGCGCUCCUUGGUAUUCCGAGGAGCAUGCCUGUUUGAGUGUCAUUGCUGCCCUCAAGCACGGCUUGUGUGUUGGGCCUCCGUCCUCCUCCCGGGGGACGGGCCCGAAAGGCAGCGGCGGCACCGCGUCCGGUCCUCGAGCGUAUGGGGCUUCGUCACCCGCUCUUGUAGGCCCGGCCGGCGCUUGCCGACACAUCAAUCUUUUUUCCAGGUUGACCUCGGAUCAGGUAGGGAUACCCGCUGAACUUAAGCAUAUCAAUAAGCGGAGGA
rnacentral:misc_RNA from 1 species